UCAACAGAGGAAGAGAAUUCCGGGAAGUUAAACUCCAUUGUGAUCUCUGUCUCAGAAUCCUACAAAAGCUCGCCGUCUCAAAUGAGUGUCUGAUGUAUAGUAUCAAGCGACUGCUCGUGAGAAGCCUGGCGUUGUACUUUAACCGUCAUGUAAGACGAUUUCAUCUGCAUAUAAUUCACCUUUUUCGUAGGUAAUCGAAUCCCCUUAGGGUCUAGGAUGAUUCAAGUUUAUUCCUACAGAGAUCUGGGGACUUAUAAACGAAAAACAAAGGAAUAAUUUUACGGCGUCCAGUUCAAAAGCAUGAACAGAAUGGGACACGAAAAUUCGAAUCGUUCUACAGUUGUGAUCUAGCGUCUCUACACGUUGGAAAUAAAGCGAAGAAUCAGUGACAGGAAACGUAGAACUACUGUAACAAAUUGCUGGGGAGAGUAAUCAAAAACUGCAAUUACAAUGACAAACAGAUAAAAACUACGAGUAGCAUACCGAAGGAAGAAAUGUGGAGCUCUUAGGAGGAUUCAAUGGAA
rnacentral:lncRNA from 1 species